CCUGCCUACAGGAUCCCUGGGGCACGGUGUUGCUGCAGGAGGAUCACUGCACAGGGAUGGGCUCCUAGCAGAGCCUGCAUGGCCCCAUGGCUUGGGGACAGUGGGUGCUCUGUACUUGGUGCACCCAGGUCCCGCACUGCUGGGGCAGGAGGCAACACAGAGCAAUGCAGUGAUGCCAUGCAGUGGUGAGAUGGCCCCAGAGGAUACCUGGUUGAAUUCCAUCUUGCCCUCUGUGUGUAUAACAUCCCCUUUAUAGAUCCGCCAGUCAGGCAGUGUCCUGCCUGCUGCUCAUCCUGCCUCCUUUAACUACACCACCACUGGCAUCUCGGUGUCAUUCACACUGUAAUCUCAUAGGUAUCUGUUUCCUAUCUGGAUCCCACCUGUCAGAGCACCUCUUUCCACUGGCAGCAUGGGUAGUGAAUGACCUUCAGCCAGCGAGUGGUUAUAGCCUUAAGACAACACAAUUAAACAUGUUUUAUUGCUUAACACACUGUGUCAGGAGCCCUAGUUGUGUUUUUGUUCCAGUCUUCUAUCGUUUUCAGAAAUGCCUGGAACUGUGACAGCUCAAAGCGCCGGUGCACUUCUGCUCCCAGUCCCACAAAGCUUGUUUUCGCUCAGAUUAAGACAACUCUCCAACAUUACACCAUCCAGACCAUCAUGGCUUUGGCUCCUGCUGCAUCUUCCAGCACAUGGCUUGAAUUCCCCCUCUUCAGCCUUCCACCAAGCUGAAACAGCUACGGCAGACAUGUUGGAUCAUAUCUGAUUUUUUGUUGCUGUUAAGAGUCCAUUUUCAGCCAAUGGCUUCUGAGCAUUAUUCCUCAUGGCUUCUUAGCUGCAUGCUCUGGGCCUUGUGCUUUGCGCAACUUUUUAAUAGACCCUCUCUCAAAGCACCUCACACUUGUGUACAAAUGACUGCUCGUUUCCUCAGCCCUUCUCCCAUUGGCUUUUGCAGCUGUUGUCAUUAAUGGCUUUAACUGCAUUUAAAUUGUCUUGAUUUGUCUGUGAGUUGCGUUGGUCAAGGAGCAGUUGUUUGGCACAUCCAUCAUUUCUGUCUCAGUCUAACCACCAAGGUUUCCUUUGUUGCCACCAGGAAAUGCUUUUUGUAGCACCCAGCAGAGAUCUGUCGAGUCUGCGCUGAGGUGUGAGGUCUGCACACACAGGGCAGCUCCCACAGGACCGAACACAUUUUGGGGCUGACCAACUUGUUUUCCUACCUCUCCUCCAGAGAGGUUUUUGGUGCCUCUGUGGCAGAUCUCUCCGAGUGAAGCAGUGCUUCCUCCAUGCACAGAUCGGAUGGGAGUUUUGUUUGCAGAACUCAGAACAAACCAACAAAAAAAAAAAAAAAAAAA
ensembl:lncRNA